CGGACGGGUGAGUAACACGUGGAUAACCUACCUAUAAGACUGGGAUAACUUCGGGAAACCGGAGCUAAUACCGGAUAAUAUAUUGAACCGCAUGGUUCAAUAGUGAAAGACGGUUUUGCUGUCACUUAUAGAUGGAUCCGCGCCGCAUUAGCUAGUUGGUAAGGUAACGGCUUACCAAGGCAACGAUGCGUAGCCACCUGAGAGGGUGAUCGGCCACACUGGAACUGAGACACGGUCCAGACUCCUACGGGAGGCAGCAGCA
rnacentral:rRNA from 1 species